rnacentral:rRNA from 1 species
AUUGAACGCUGGCGGCAUGCCUUACACAUGCAAGUCGAACGGCAACGGGCCUUCGGGUGCCGACGAGUGGCGAACGGGUGAGUAAUACAUCGGGACGUGCCCGAUCGUGGGGGAUAACGAGGCGAAAGCUUUGCUAAUACCGCAUACGAUCUACGGAUGAAAGCAGGGGACCGCAAGGCCUUGCGCGGACGGAGCGGCCGAUGGCAGAUUAGGUAGUUGGUGGGAUAAAAGCUUACCAAGCCGACGAUCUGUAGCUGGUCUGAGAGGAUGAUCAGCCACACUGGGACUGAGACACGGCCCAGACUCCUACGGGAGGCAGCAGUGGGGAAUUUUGGACAAUGGGCGCAAGCCUGAUCCAGCCAUGCCGCGUGCAGGAUGAAGGCCUUCGGGUUGUAAACUGCUUUUGUACGGAACGAAAAGCCUUCUUUUAAUACAGGAGGGUCAUGACGGUACCGUAAGAAUAAGCACCGGCUAACUACGUG